UCGUCCCUGAAACCAAAAUCUCCAAUAAGCAGCAGAUGGGUUCAAGAUGGAGUACUAGUGGUUUUAUAUGGGAUUCUGGUGGAACAAGGAUCUUCAUUCAGUGGAAACACCAGCAUUAUGAUAUUUCCUCUCAGAACCAAGACGGUAGAUGUCUUGUCUAAAUUUAAGCAGCUUGAAUUUCAGUUCACUACAAAGGAUGAGAGCUACUGUGAUAUAAGAAACAACCUUGUCGACAAAAGAUCGGCGGGAUAUUGAGGUUCAUUAGUUGCCUGUCCCUUUAGGGAUGAAAGAGUAAUAAGGGGAAUAUCUCUUCGUCCCAAAGAGAUGAAUAUGUGGUUAAGAAGCUAGAAAAGAUGGAAAUGGAUCCAAGGGAUGAGGAGCUAUGUUGUAAAAGGCGAGAGCCUUUGGCGCUUAAAGGCGCACUAAGCGCAGGCCUAGCGCCUAGCAGAAAAAAUACCCCUUUCUGCAAUUUUUCCGCUACGCCUAGGCGCGCCUUUUACAACAUAGAUAAGGAGUACAGGAAGGGUGUGAGACUGAGUAAGGAGAUUCCUAAUUUGACAGCUGAAGAUUCAAGGUGAAGUGUAAGAAAUCGGAUCAGGUUCAAGGAAGAGAGAGUUGCUGAAUGAUAAUGGGGGAUGAUUGGUCACGGUUUGUUUGGUGCAGCUUGUGAGGGAAGAAGAGUCAUCCGAAGUUUUCUGAAAACUCAUGGAGGUGUGAAAUUUGUGUAAUUGAAUGCUGCUCUUUGUAUCUUCUUAGUUUCGGUUGUUGGGUCUUUGUUAUACUCCUAGAUAUCCAUUUUUUAUCCUUGUUUUCAAUUUCUUAUCAUUUGGUGUGUGUGUGUGUUCCUCUGUUGGAAAUGUUUUUAUUCACUUUUGAAACUCACACUGUCUCAAAGUCUUGCUGUAAUCUUUAUUUUGUUUUAUUUCAGUCAUUUCCGGAGUA